ensembl:rRNA 5S_rRNA 5S ribosomal RNA
GUCUAUGGCCAUACCACCCCUGAACGCACCCAGUCUCGCCUGAUGUUGGAAGCUAAGCAGGGUCGGGCCUGGUUAGUACUUGGAUGGGAGAACAUACAUGAGCCACUCUGUAGUCC